GAUGAAGAACGCAGCGAAAUGCGAUAACUAAUGUGAAUUGCAGAAUUCCGUGAAUCAUCGAGUCUUUGAACGCACAUUGCGCCCCCUGGUAUUCCGGGGGGCAUGCCUGUCCGAGCGUCAUUACAACCCUCAAGCCCGGCUUGUGUAAUGGGCGGCCGUCUCUCCCCCCGGGGGGAGACGCCCCCGAAACUCAGUGGGGAUGUCGCGAUACCGAAGCCUCAGCUAAUGGGUAAACCACAGCUGCAAUGGCCGCGGCCGGCGUCCACCUUCCACGGUCCGUCCGCCUAGCGCGGGCGGCCUUCUCAAGGUUGACCUCGGAUCAGGUAGGGAUACCCGCUGAACUUAAGCAUAUCAAUAAGCGGAGGA
rnacentral:misc_RNA from 1 species